GAGGCAGCUUCACGUCCCCCAGCCUGAGGAGGUCACUGUGGCUUCCUGUGUCCUCUUUGCUCACCAAGGAGACUGAGCCAGGAGGAGAGUUUGGUACUGGAUACUCAGCCAGAUUCACUGCCCAGCUGAAUGACGGCCCUGGGCCCCAGCCGCCAGCCACACUCACUGGGGACUCUGGAAGCUGGUCCAAGACCCAUGUCUAACAGGCCUGUGGGUUUCCCUCAAUGAGCAGGCCUUUGGAAACCCAGUUCUGAUGGCCGGCCGCCCACUGCUCACAGGGCCUGGGAGGGCCAUCAUCUAGGCCUUCCUGGCCUUGAUGUCCAUCGCUCCCUCGCCCUCCUCCUUCCCCAGGCUGCUGUCCUCUGGUUCCCAGUGCUGAGAGGUGUCUCUCCCCCUGGCAGCCCAGCCCAGCUGCCUCCUCACUGCCAGACUGGAACGUUAUGACCAGGCUCGUGAGAUUGUUGGGGGUGUUAAAUGACGUGUCAUGGGUUCUCUGACAGUGGGACAUCUGACGGGGCUGUGGUCAGGGCCUGCUGACCCCUUGUCUCCAGGGAUGGGUCCCUGCUCUGUAUGUGUGGCCUCACUCCCGGGCUAACCCAGGGUCCUGUCACGGACUGAGUGAGAAGGUCUUGGUUGCCCUGCCCCUUCCUUCCCACCUUUGUGUGUUGGGGCAGUGGGCCAUGGAGGGACACCUGACCUGCCCCAGGCGUGCUGGGCCAUUCGCCAGGGCAGUGUCACGUGGUCCUGCUGCUGGCUGGGAUCCGGGCACGCCAGCACAUGCCUGGGCCACGGUGCAGGAAUCUGUGGCCUUGCCCACACCUGCCCCAAGUCCUGCACCCGACCCUCCUGAUCCUUCUUCUGCCCGUGCGUGGCCUUCCCCUGGCCACCCCAAGCACACCCAUGCCUGCCUGUGACCUCCCCCUCCUGUCCACCCAGCUCAGGCGUCAGCUCAUCCUGCCAGGUAGCGCCACGCUCCCCUCCCUCGGGCAGCUGUGGGUCUCUUCUCCUCUCUGGCUUCCUCCCGUGCCCUCCCCCCUUCUUCCCACACUCUCAGAGUCUUUGCCACCCGAGUGCUGUCCCGGUUUUGAUGAAGUUCAGUGUGAAGGCUCUCCUGUGCUCGGUCAGCCUCACCUGGAGUUCUCCUCAUGGCUGUCACGUCCCCCUGUUUCCUCUUCUCCACUCACACUGACCUCCCGCUCCACUGAGCAGACAGCACCCACCGCUCAGGAGCUCCACUUCCUUCCUGUGGCUUGCUGUGGCUCAGUGUUGCUGUGGCAAGAAGCAACCCCAACCCCAGGGCUUGCACCCCACGUCAGGCAGGCCAGCCAGGCCUCUUUCUC
rnacentral:lncRNA from 1 species